rnacentral:rRNA from 1 species
GACGAACGCUGGCGGCGUGCCUAAUACAUGCAAGUAGAACGCUGAAGAGAGGAGCUUGCUCUUCUUGGAUGAGUUGCGCACGGGUGAGUAACGCGUAGGUAACCUGCCUGGUAGCGGGGGAUAACUAUUGGAAACGAUAGCUAAUACCGCAUAAAAUGGAUUAUCGCAUGAUAAUCCAUUGAAAGGUGCAAAUGCAUCACUACCAGAUGGACCUGCGUUGUAUUAGCUAGUUGGUGGGGUAACGGCUCACCAAGGCGACGAUACAUAGCCGACCUGAGAGGGUGAUCGGCCACACUGGGACUGAGACACGGCCCAGACUCCUACGGGAGGCAGCAGUAGGGAAGCUUCGGCAAUGGACGGAAGUCUGACCGAGCAACGCCGCGUGAGUGAAGAAGGUUUUCGGAUCGUAAAGCUCUGUUGUAAGAGAAGAACGAGUGUGAGAGUGGAAAGUUCACACUGUGACGGUAUCUGACCAGAAAGGGACGGCUAACUACGUG